GACGAACGCUGGCGGCGUGCUUAACACAUGCAAGUCGAACGGAAAGGCCCUGCUUGCAGGGUACUCGAGUGGCGAACGGGUGAGUAACACGUGGGUGAUCUGCCCUGCACUUCGGGAUAAGCCUGGGAAACUGGGUCUAAUACCGGAUAGGAGCCAUUUUUAGUGUGAUGGUUGGAAAGUUUUUUCGGUGUAGGAUGAGCUCGCGGCCUAUCAGCUUGUUGGUGGGGUAAUGGCCUACCAAGGCGGCGACGGGUAGCCGGCCUGAGAGGGUGGACGGCCACAGUGGGACUGAGAUACGGCCCAGACUCCUACGGGAGGCAGCAGUGGGGAAUAUUGCACAAGGGGCGCAAGCCGGAUGCAGCGACGCCGCGUGUGGGAUGACGGCCUUCGGGUUGUAAACGCCUUUCGCUAGGGACGAAGCUUUUUGUGACGGUACCUAGAGAAGAAGCACCGGCUAACUACGUG
rnacentral:rRNA from 1 species